GCUUUGCUGGUUCAGUGGCAGAAUUUUCACCUUCCAAGCAAAAGACCUGGGUUCAUUUCCCAGCCAAUACA
rnacentral:tRNA from 1 species